rnacentral:rRNA from 1 species
ACUCAAAUGAAUUGACGGGGACCCGCACAAGCAGUGGAGUAUGUGGUUUAAUUCGAAGCAACGCGAAGAACCUUACCAGGCCUUGACAUCCCAUUGAAACAUGCAGAGAUGUAUGCCUCCUUCGGGACAAUGGAGACAGGUGGUGCAUGGUUGUCGUCAGCUCGUGUCGUGAGAUGUUGGGUUAAGUCCCGCAACGAGCGCAACCCUUGAUCUUAGUUGCCAGCAUUGAGUUGGGCACUCUAGGAUGACUGCCGGUGACAAACCGGAGGAAGGUGGGGAUGACGUCAAAUCAUCAUGCCCCUUAUGGCCUGGGCUACACACGUACUACAAUGGCCGGUACAACGGGAAGCGAAGGAGCGAUCCGGAGCGAAUCUUUAGAAGCCGGUCUCAGUUCGGAUUGCAGGCUGCAACUCGCCUGCAUGAAGUCGGAAUUGCUAGUAAUCGCGGAUCAGCAUGCCGCGGUGAAUACGUUCCCGGGUCUUGUACACACCGCCCGU